GGCUUUGCAGUUGUGAACCUGACACUAAUUGAUCUUCCUGGGCUUACAAAAGUAGCUAUUGAUGGCCAAUCUGAAAGCAUUGUGCAAGACAUUGAGAAUAUGGUCCGGUCCUAUAUUGAGAAGGUUCACAUAUCAAAGAAAGGAAAGAAGAAGAAAAAGUAGAUAUGACAAACUCAAUGAAAGAAGGCCGCUGGAGAAAUUCUCUUUUGGAGCAACAAUUAAAGCAUUGUCUUAGGAGUUUUUGAGUUGUUUUGGGAAAAGAUUGAAA